GACGGUGAUUCCACCACUUCCUUGGAAACUCUGUUCCAGUGCUUGACAAUCCUCUCAGUGCAGAAAUGUUUCACAAGAUCCAAUCUAAACCAUCCCUGGCAUGACUUGAGUACUUGGCAAAGAGCCUAGGUUUGGAUUCAGUGGGAUUUGGCUAUCUCCAGACCAUCUUUGGUGUCCUCCAGCUUGUGGGAGGUUAUAUUUUUGGAAGGUUUGCAGAUCAAUUUGGUGCCCGAGCUGCUCUAAUUCUCUCCUGUGCAUCUGGAAGCAUCUUCUUCCUGCUUAUGUCCCUCUCCACCAACAUCCCCCUCCUCUUCCUCUCCAGGCUGCCAGGAGUGUUCAUGCAUGGGAUACCAGGUGCUCAGAAGGUUAUUACAGAUAUGACCACUCCUUCCCAGCGUGCUGGUGCUUUGGGGAAACUGGGCUUUUGCUUUGGAGUGGGCAUCAUUG